rnacentral:snoRNA from 1 species
CUACAAAAGUGUGUCUGUGGUUCCUGUCUUUGGACACGUAAGAAUUGGAUUUGGAGAAGUCUGGAGCCAGCUUGCUCCCUGCAGGCUCAAGAGCAACCAUCCCACAUAG